UGGGGAAUAUUGCACAAUGGGCGAAAGCCUGAUGCAGCAACGCCGCGUGAGUGAUGAAGGUCUUCGGAUUGUAAAGCUCUGUCUUUUGGGACGAUAAUGACGGUACCAAAGGAGGAAGCCACGGCUAACUACGUGCCAGCAGCCGCGGUAAUACGUAGGUGGCGAGCGUUGUCCGCAUUUACUGGGCGUAAAGGGUGCGUAGGCGGAUGUUUAAGUGAGAUGUGAAAUACCCGGGCUUAACUUGGGUGCUGCAUUUCAAACUGGAUAUCUAGAGUGCAGGAGAGGAGAAUGGAAUUCCUAGUGUAGCGGUGAAAUGCGUAGAGAUUAGGAAGAACACCAGUGGCGAAGGCGAUUCUCUGGACUGUAACUGACGCUGAGGCACGAAAGCGUGGGUAGCAAACAGGAUUAGAUACCCUGGUAGUCCACGCCGUAAACGAUGAGUACUAGGUGUAGGAGGUAUCGACCCCUUCUGUGCCGCAGUAAACACAUUAAGUACUCCGCCUGGGAAGUACGAUCGCAAGAUUAAAACUCU
rnacentral:rRNA from 1 species